AGCAGCCGCGGUAAUUCCAGCUCCAAUAGCGUAUAUUAAAGUUGCUGCAGUUAAAAAGCUCGCAGUUGAAUUUCGGGACCAUCAUGUCGGUCGUGCCUCGGUACGUACUGGCAUUGUUGGUUUCUCCCUUCUGACGAACCAUGAUGUCAUUUAUUUGGUGUUGUGGGGAAUCAGGACUGUUACUUUGAAAAAUUAGAGUGUUUAAAGCAGGCUUUAGCUUGAAUACAUUAGCAUGGAAUAAUGAAAUAGGACGUUCGAACCUAUUUUGUUGGUUUCUAGGAUCAACGUAAUGAUUAAUAGGGAUAGUUGGGGGCAUUAGUAUUCAAUUGUCAGAGGUGAAAUUCUUGGAUUUAUUGAAGACUAACUACUGCGAAAGCAUUUGCCAAGGAUGUUUCAU
rnacentral:rRNA from 1 species